GGGUCAGUAGGUUGGUCGUGCCACCGGUACGUACUGGUCUCACUGAUUCCUCCUUCCUGAAGAACCGUAAUGCCAUUAAUUUGGUGUUGCGGGGAAACAGGACUGUUACUUUGAAAAAAUUAGAGUGUUUAAAGCAAGCUAACGCUUGAAUACAUUAGCAUGGAAUAAUGAAAUAGGACGAUCGAUCCUAUUUUGUUGGUAUCUAGGGUUGACGUA
rnacentral:rRNA from 1 species